rnacentral:rRNA from 1 species
UACGUAGGGGGCUAGCGUUGUCCGGAAUCAUUGGGCGUAAAGAGCGUGUAGGCGGCCGCACAGGUCCGUUGUGAAAACUGGAGGCUUAACCUUCAGACGUCGAUGGAAACCGUGCGGCUAGAGUCCGGAAGAGGAGAGUGGAAUUCCUGGUGUAGCGGUGAAAUGCGCAGAUAUCAGGAAGAACACCCGUGGCGAAGGCGGCUCUCUGGGCCGAUACUGACGCUGAGGAGCGAAAGCGUGGGGAGCGAACAGG